GAUGAGAACGCAGCGAAAUGCGAUAAGUAAUGUGAAUUGCAGAAUUCAGUGAAUCAUCGAAUCUUUGAACGCACCUUGCGCCCUUUGGCCAUUCCGAAGGGCAUGCCUGUUUGAGUAUCAUGAACACCUCAACUCUCAUGGCUUGCCAUGAUGAGCUUGGACUUUGGGGGUCUUGCUGGCCUGUGGUCGGCUCCUCUCAAAUGAAUCAGCUUGCCAGUGUUUGGUGGCAUCACAAGUGUGAUAACUAUCUGCGCUCGUGGUUUCCAUCAGAUAACCUCCAGUGAUGGAGGUUCGCUGGAGCUCAUAAAUGUCUCUCCUAAGCGAGGACAGCUCUUUUAAUGUUUGAUCUCAAAUCAGGUAGGACUACCCGCUGAACUUAAGCAUAUCAAUAAGCGGAGGA
rnacentral:misc_RNA from 1 species